rnacentral:RNase_P_RNA from 1 species
AACGUGCGAGUGAGGAUCGCCGGCGGCGGGCGCGAGCCUCCGUCGGAGGAAAGUCCGAGCUCCGCAGGGCAGGGUGCCGGGUAACGCCCGGGCGGCGCGAGCCGACGGAAAGUGCCACAGAGAACAGACCGCCGAUGGCCUCCGCAAGGAGUGCACAGGCAAGGGUGAAACGGUGCGGUAAGAGCGCACCGGGCUUCCGGCAACGGGAGUCGCAUGGCAAACCCCACCUGGAGCAAGGCCAAGCAGGGACGAGGAGCGGCCCGCUCCAUCGAGUCCCGGGUAGGCUGCUAGAGGUCCUCAGCAAUGCGGACCCGAGAGAAAUGAUCCUCCCCGGCUGCGCCGGGACAGAACUCGGCUUAUUCGCACGUUCCCG